CACGUAGGGUGCGAGCGUUGUCCGGAAUUAUUGGGCGUAAAGAGCUCGUAGGCGGUGUGUCGCGUCGGCCGUGAAAACCUGCAGCUUAACUGUGGGCUUGCGGUCGAUACGGGCAUCACUGGAGUUCGGCAGGGGAGACUGGAAUUUACGGUGUAGCAGUGAAAUGCGUAGAUAUCGUAAGGAAGACCAGUGGCGAAGGCGAGUCUCUGGACAGUUACUGACGCUGAGGCACGAAGGCCAGGGGAGCAAACGGG
rnacentral:rRNA from 1 species